UAUGUGCCCUUCGGGGGAAAGAUUUAUCGCCAUUGGAGUAGCCCGCGUUGGAUUAGGUAGUUGGUGGGGUAAAGGCCUACCAAGCCUACGAUCCAUAGCUGGUCUGAGAGGAUGAUCAGCCACACUGGGACUGAGACACGGCCCAGACUCCUACGGGAGGCAGCAGUAGGGAAUCUUGCGCAAUGGGCGAAAGCCUGACGCAGCCAUGCCGCGUGAAUGAUGAAGGUCUUAGGAUUGUAAAAUUCUUUCACCGGGGAAGAUAAUGACGGUAUCCGGAGAAGAAGCCCCGGCUAACUUCGUGCCAGCAGCCGCGGUAAUACGAAGGGGGCUAGCGUUGCUCGGAAUUACUGGGCGUAAAGGGCGCGUAGGCGGAUAGUUUAGUCAGAGGUGAAAGCCCAGGGCUCAACCUUGGAAUUGCCUUUGAUACUGGCUAUCUUGAG
rnacentral:rRNA from 1 species